rnacentral:rRNA from 1 species
UACGGAGGAUGCAAGCGUUAUCCGGAAUGAUUGGGCGUAAAGCGUCCGCAGGUGGCUAUGUAAGUCUGCUGUUAAAGAGUGAGGCUCAACCUCAUAAGAGCAGUGGAAACUACACGGCUAGAGUGCGUUCGGGGCAGAGGGAAUUCCUGGUGUAGCGGUGAAGUGCGUAGAUAUCAGGAAGAACACCGGUGGCGAAAGCGCUCUGCUAGGCCGCAACUGACACUGAGGGACGAAAGCUAGGGGAGCGAAUGGG